UUAAAACUUUAUCACAAAAAAUUGGAAGAAAAUAUAUUGCAUGAUGGGUUUAACUUAUUUAAAUUGAUUAUAUAGGAGCUGAUAAACACUGUGAGUAUAGAAAAUAUAUAGUGAUUAAUGAAAGAAGAUUAAACAAAUUAUAAUAAUUUGCUACAUUAUUUAUACUUUAUAUAUUGCAUGAUAAGAUAUAUAAAUGACUUAAUAUCACUUAGAAUUUCUACAAGAUUUAAAUUUAAAUUAUUUAUACUAAUUAUUCUUGAACUUUUCGACUUUUUCAUAAAACUUCUUGAGAUUUUUAAAGUUACAAGAACACUCUUGUAGUUUUAAAUUUUUACAAAAUUCGUUCUCAUUGUUUUUUAAUCCAUGGACUACUGUGUGGCCCAUCCACGCGGGAGCGGAUCAAGAAUUGAAUGUUGUUACGUCUACCUUUAGCUACAAGCAGCCACGUGCCCGGACAAAUUUAGCAACAACUUUUUAGGCAAAUGCCAGUCAAAGCAGCCAUGCCAGGUUCCCCAGCCGUUGCUUAUCAUCAGCAGAAAGCAAACAACUGAAAAUCACAACUAGAACAUAAAGAAACAUAAUAACAGAAAAUUAAUUGAUUAACUUACGCACCAGAAAUUAAAAAUGAAAAUAAAAAGAGAAAGGGUGUAAAAGAAGAGCAAAAUAGAGGUGAAAUGGAGGACAACCAAGAGGCUAAUAUCACCAAAGAAUUGAUGAUUCAAAAGAAAAUUUCAUGAAAAGUUUGGGGAGAUUUACCUUGAGAGUGAAAUUUACUGAAUGAACUGAGAAAUGAUUGAGGAACGCGAGAAGUGCUGGAGAGAUACUAAGACUGCCAUAGACCAAAUUUAUGAAGAACAAUAAAUUCAUAACAAACCAAUGAUGUACAAACAAAAGUAAUAAGUAAUGACAAUUAUCAAAGGGUUUUGUUUCUUUUACACACUUUA